CUUUUGAGAUGGGUUAGAAGAGACUAUACUUGCUGAAGAUCUGGCCACAGAGAAAAUCAAAACCAAGAACAGAGAGAUAAAGGAAUUCCUUUACAGCAUAAAGAGAACAGGUGCCUGAGGACAUUUCUGAUAUGUAUCUGAUCAUCGUGAGCAGUAUGUGCUGCUUAAACAAAAGGUUUCCUCCCCUCAUAUAAAACACAAAAAGAGAACUCAGACACCACCCGGGGUGUGCGGCUGGAGCAGAAGCUCCUUUGUGAGGCUGUGUUAUAGGAGACGGAGCAGAACGGGGGUGAAGCGGAGGCAUUAAGUGUGGCAGACGCCCCUUUGUGUGUCGGUCACAAUGCUGAAGUGAAAGAAGGCAGGAUGCUUAACAUGCAAAUGAGACGAGAGAGAAGGGGAGGUCAGGGAAAUCACUCAAUGUCACAUUAACAAGUGCUCGUUCCAUGAUGGGGUAUUAAAUGCUGAGUGUGAGAGUACUGCAGCUGCAUCUCGUUCUGUGGCAUUUACCUCUGCCAAUUCAGAAUGAUCCCAAAGAGAUCAGUUCAGAUGAAGAAAAAAAAAAUAUGUAUAUCACUGAUUGAUUAUUUUAUCCCAUUGACACAUGGCAUGUGAUCAUCCAUCAACUGUUUGACCUUGUGAAUGCAAAUGAACUAUAAGGAGUGGCAGAAAUUACCUCACUAUCUCACCAGUCGAUUUUGUAGGUGCUUAGAAUGGCAUACUGUACUGC
ensembl:lncRNA